GCAGGUCAGAUUUUGGGUUUAGCGUGACUUCAAUUCCCAGCUUAAAGAAUCAGGCACCACCAGUUAUAUAGAGCCAACAGAAAUCUAUCGUGGACAUCUUUUGUGCCAGCUGCUUGCUAACACCCAAAAAAAUUCUGAUACAGAAAAAUGAAACAAAACGGAUAUAUCAACAGUGACAAGGGGCUGUGGUCAUCACCAAAUCUGGAUAAAGGUCACAGUUUUCCCAGUGCACAUCAACCAUGUGCAUAAAG